rfam:Oryza sativa Japonica Group DNA, chromosome 7, cultivar: Nipponbare, complete sequence.
AAAAAGACAAACCCUGGGUUUCCGUGUCCAAUUUUGACUAUCUGUCUUAUAUAAAUUUUUUUUAUAAUUCGUAUUUUCAUUGUUGUUAGAUGAUAAAACAUGAUUAAUAUUUUAUGCGCGACUUGUCUUUUUAUUUUUUUUUUCAUAAUUUUUUCAAAUAAGACGGACGGUCAAACGGGUACGGAACCAGGGUUUGUCUUUUU